CAGCAUUUUGAGAAAAAGAAGAAAAAACGAAAAAUAAUGAAAAAAUGCCAAACCCUCAUUCGAUAUAGCAGUUUCUUUUAAGGCAGCAGGCUAUAAGAUAGUUGGUGUAUGUUCUGAAGCCCCCGGCAGCGUAGUUAAUAAACAUGUUUACCUUAUUUGCUUUGUUUUAUGGAAUCUUCAUGAUCAUCAGUACUGCAACUUUCAUAGUAGACAGCCGUUCAGAGUGUUACGAAAGCUGCUCCACUGUUUUUGACAUUUGUCAUAAUUCAAUUAACGAAUCCCAUGAGUGGGAUUCCCAAAAAGCGGAAUUUAUGGUUUGCAUAAAAGAUCGAACUGUUUGCCAUGAAAACUGUAAAAGAGUAUUAAAAUUAAAAAGAAUACUGAGAGCUUUAAAAAAAUAUAACAUAUAUAUCAAUCAUGGUCAAAGUAUAUAGCAUUCAUUACACGCUGCAAAGAUUAGAUAAUACUGAGUGCACAUCAAACUGCGAAGGAACUAAAAUUUACCGUAAAAAAGUGAAAUCUUUGGAACUUAUGUUGAGCCACAUAGUGCAAAAAAUUAGCCAGGAAAUGGUAAAUCUCAUAAGAAGUAUUGAAAAACUGCAAAAUAGUUUUUUCAUUUUUCUUUAGUAUCUCUUAAAAUUUCUAUUUUAGUAU